CCUAAAGAAGGAGAUCAAACGUUGUUUGUUUUGUUGGUAAAUUGCCUUUACAUUUCUUACAGGCUACAUUUGAAUCUGUCAGUGGGGAAUCAUCACAUCAAUGGGGUUAAAGAAGAUAAAGACUGAGUUUCUUCGCUGUGAGAGGGAAAAA